UAAUUUGUGUUCCGAAGAUUAACGAAGGUCUUACGGGUGUGGAACGACAUGAGGAUUCAAGUUCAAAGCAAGGCUAAUCAAGAUGAUCUGGAAAUGAUUUUAUGAAAGCUUCAUUGUGGACAAGUUUUGCAGAUUUUGCAUGGCAUCCAGGAUUGGCACACAACACCAAGAGGUAAGAUUUGGCACAUUUCAACUCAGAGAGAGAGAGAUACACACAACAGGCAUGUGCAAGAAACAUUGCAGGAUCCAAAUUCAGGUCAAAGACAAUGCCCACUCACAGCAA